UACGUAGGAGGCAAGCGUUGUCCGGAAUUACUGGGCGUAAAGCGCGUGUAGGCGGUCUGAAUAGUCUGCUGUGAAAGCGCCUGGCUUAACCGGGCGAGGUCGGCGGAAACUCUCAGACUGGAGGCCGGUAGAGGGGGGUGGAAUUCCCGGUGUAGUGGUGAAAUGCGUAGAGAUCGGGAGGAACACCUGUGGCGAAGGCGGCCUGCUGGGCAGUUUCUGACACUGAGGCGCGACAGCGUGGGGAGCAAACAGG
rnacentral:rRNA from 1 species